GAGUAUGACCUCCAUGUGUUCUGCGAUGCCUCUGAAAAGGCUUAUGGGGCUGUAGCCUAUUUAGCAGUACACAGUGGGGAAACCAUCCAUACCACCUUUGUGAUGGCUAGGUCAAGAGUUGCUCCGAAGAGACAACAGUCCAUACCCCGGCUAGAGCUUUGUGCUGCCUUGGCCGGAGCUCAAUUAGCCAGGCUUGUACAGGCUGAACUUACAUUGACAAUUCGCCAGACAGUUCUUUGGUCAGACUCUUUGACAGUCUUGGAAUGGCUUCAGUCUGACUCAUGCAGGUUCAAGGUGUUCGUUGGCACUCGAGUAUCGGAGAUACAAGAAAUGACAGAUCGGAAUGCUUGGCGGUAUGUGGACACUCACAACAAUCCCGCUGAUGAUAUAACUAGGGGGAAACCACUCCUAACACUGGCCCAACCUAACCGAUGGAGCCAAGGACCCUCUUUCCUCAAACAAAGCAUGGAGCACUGGCCGAAGAAACCUGAAUCUGGGACCCAGGAGAGCUUAUCAGAGGUGAAAGGCAUAACACUCUGCUGCCUUACGGUACUGGGGAGAAACUGCAUUACUCCAGAUGCAACUGAAUACGGAACAUGGAAAGAGCUAGUGGACGCUACCCAGAAGGCAUGUCAUGGUGCAGUUGCAGAGUCACUAGGGACCACUGACCAGCCAGUGAGUUAUCGAGAUGCAGAGUUACUGAUAUUAAAAGAUUGUCAAACUCAGAGCUUUCCAGAUGAGGUGGCUGCUCUCAGAGAAGGGAAACCUCUGCCAAACCACAGCAGGUUGAGCAAUCUAGCACCUGAAUGGGAUUCUGCAAUGGAUAUUAUCAGAGUUGGGGGACGGCUGCGGAGACUACAGACUCUCAACAUGGAAGAAGCCCAUCCGAUAGUUCUAGAUCCACGAUAUCCAGCGACACAGCUACUUAUCAAAGAGUUUGAUGAACGUCUGUUGCACCCGGGAGCUGAACGGGUAUAUGCUGAGAUUCGAAGGCAGUACUGGAUCUUGAGGGGCCGUCAAGCCAUUAGACAUCAUCAGCUUCACUGCCCCACCUGUCGGAAAUGGAGAGCUCAGCCAAAGGUGCCACAAAUGUCUGACUUGCCAACAGAGCGUCUUCGUCUACUGGAUUCCAUCCUGGAUUCAGUUGAACAAACAGUGUACUCAAGUUCUUGUGUGUACUAUAUGUAGU
rnacentral:lncRNA from 1 species